rnacentral:rRNA from 1 species
UACGGAGGGUGCAAGCGUUAAUCGGAAUUACUGGGCGUAAAGCGUGCGCAGGCGGUUUGUUAAGUCCGUUGUGAAAGCCCCGAGCUCAACUUGGGAAUUGCAGUGGAUACUGGCAGGCUGGAGUACGGUAGAGGAAGGUGGAAUUCCCGGUGUAGCAGUGAAAUGCGUAGAGAUCGGGAGGAACACCAGUGGCGAAGGCGGCCUUCUGGACCAGUACUGACGCGCAUGCACGAAAGCGUGGGGAGCAAACAGG